GGCACACUGUUGUUUAGCUUCCGAAUAAAUAUAUUAUUAAGUGAAAUGGAGGCUAUUUUAAAUACGCAGUUUCAGCAGCUGGAAGAUAUCAUCGGGGAAAUAUUAAAAGUAAACAAGAGCGGGCAGAACUCAGACACAUUGCGAACUGCGGCGGCAUUGAAAUUUGUUGCAUUAAAGCAUGCAAAUCGAGAAGUUAAACAGAAAAUAAAGUCUGGACGGGAUAACUUACACUUGGAAAAAUGUAAAGUGGACAUAAGUCGGUUGCAAUUGCAAAAUCUUCUGUACGAAGUGAGCCACUUGAAAAAGGACAUCGUGCGUUGCGAGAAAUGUUUUAGCGAGUGAAUUGCUUUAGCAGCAACUAUAUUUUAAAACAUUUUCAUGUUUUUAGGGAUACUAAUUUCGUUCAGCAUCUCCUUCGGCAUUUGUUUGCAAACGAUUUGGGUAAUGAUAUACCUAUACCCGGUAUUCAAUACGAUUUACAGAAUAAGGAUCUGACACCAGAGGAAUGUAUACAAUAUCUGGAGUCUAAGGACUUUGGAAAAGCAUACUGUUGGUUACAAAGUAUAUGCUCUAUACCAAUAGUCAACAGCUCGCUGUUGUAUAAGCAUGAGCUGAACUUGAAUAAAAGCAUGAGGGAGACCAUAGCUCGCAUUACACGGCGCUGGAACUCUUGGUUAAAUCUAAGUCAGCAAAUACGUGGUCUGACUAACAAGGACAUCGAUUUGUAUGCACUAAAAGAAAAUGUCUAUCCUGCGGCCUUGUCUUGCAGCCUAGUGCAGUGGACGGCGAUCACUCUCGAGGAAUUCCUAGCCCAAAAUUCAGACGUACUAAACAUUUC